rnacentral:rRNA from 1 species
UACAGAGGGUGCGAGCGUUAAUCGGAAUUACUGGGCGUAAAGCGCGCGUAGGCGGCUUUGCAAGUCGGGUGUGAAAUCCCCAGGCUUAACCUGGGAACUGCAUUCGAGACUGCAUUGCUAGAGUAUGGGAGAGGGAAGUGGAAUUUCAGGUGUAGCGGUGAAAUGCGUAGAUAUCUGGAGGAACACCGGUGGCGAAGGCGGCAUCCUGGACCGGUAUUGACGCUGAACGGCGAAAGCUAGGGGAGCGAAACGGG